UCGCGGCAAAAACUGAUUGAAGAGUAAUUCAAUGCAAAAUUGAUUCGGUCACGUGACCAACCCUUCCUCAUCCUUUCCAAGCACGUGCACCGUUCAGCUCCGACAUAGCCACCACCUUUAACAUCCAUCAACAAAAAUUGGAGCUUUCAUCUCCACUACAGUCUUCACGACCACCAUAAUGUAUUAACAAUUUUUUUAUUUUUAUUUUUAAAUAAAGGGCCAAAAAAACACUUUAUUAUUAUUAUUAUUCUUAUUGUGAGAGAGAGAGAGAAACGCUGUGCUCCACUCCUUCCUAUUCUCGACUAUUUUCUCAUUCACAGUCCAACUUCUGGUGCAUCAGGUAAUUAGGAGUUUGGCAAAGAAACUUUUAAAGACCAAGAAACGGCUUGGUGGAAAUGAGUGAACAUGCGUAACAGGUUAAGUAGACAUUGGUUUUGCACUGCUGCUUCACGACCGUGGCUGUUUGUGGGUUUGGGCAACCCUGGCGAUAAAUACAAAGGAACUAGACACAAUGUAUGAUAUGAAUUCCGGUAUCUUAAUCUAUAACGUCAGUUGUUAACUUGUUAUAAGACUUACCUUACUUGGUCUUGGUUUGGAGUACGUGGGGUUUGAGAUGAUUGAUGCAUUCGCUGAAUCACAAGGGAUUGCAAUGGACACAGUUCAUUGUAAAGCAAUCUUUGGUCAAGGUAUGUUCAUUUAAUUCAACUCCCCAUCUCUGCAUGUUUACUUUGUUUAUAAAGUGCACAGAUGCUAAAAUCUUACAAGUUUUGUUGGCGACAUCCCUGUUUUCCUGGCAAAGCCUCAAACUUACAUGAAUCUGAGUGGUGAAUCUGUAAGUGAUUGAGACGCUUUCAUUAUACUUUGAAGGAAAUUAUGUUGUCAUAACAUUUUACCCUUUCCCACAUUGGGUUAUUUAUCUAGCUGUCUUUGAUCUUGCUUACUUUGAAAUGUUUAUUACCGUUUUCAAUUUGCUUGUCCAUUGUGUUUAUGAAUGACAGCUUAUGGUUCAAUGCAGAAGUUAUUGCAUAUCAUAUUGUUACAAUGUUACGAGGCAUUUGGAAUUCGUAUAUAUUCUUAAAAGAUUCAAAUCGUUUUAUUCAGCUUGCACCUUAAAUGUGGCGUUCACUUCCGCUUCUGUUUUUUUUCUAAAAUGAAGGCAUUUUAUCAUGUGCUGCCGCAAAGGCUAGAAUAGCUUGUGCAUAACUUGUACUUUUUGACUAAACUACAGACAGGACCUCUUGGAGCUUACUAUAAGCUUCCCCUUAAUCGCGUGCUUGUGGUAGCAACGGUUUCUAUACUGUGUCUGUUACUUUCUAUUAUUUUGUUGGUUUAUAGUAUCUUUGUUGUUAGUUUAUUCCAUUUUUUUUUUUUCCUUUUUGUUGCUUUAUUGAUUUUUGGUUGCAGUUUCAUGAUGACAUGAACCUACCCUGCAGGGUGCUUCGUCUUUAUGACAAAGGAGGUCAUGGAAGCCACAAUGGGUAUGAUUAGAAUUGGAAAGGGUUUGGUUUUGGCAAAAUAUUGUUUGACAUUAACUUGGAAUUGUGGUUGUUGAAAUACUGCAUUUUCUGAAAUGCAAAUGUGAGAAAUCUGAAAAACAACUAAUCCCACAAUUGCUUUGCUUAGACUGUUCCUCAUAUGCUGAAGUAGCAUGAAUUGCUUAGCCCUUCAUGUGGUAAAAUACUAUCAGCGAAUGUUCUAUCUUCGUUAUCUCUUUUAUUCUUCAGUUGCUAACCUUAAAAAGGGUAUAUAAUUAGAGUGAGAUUAUCAGCCACGACUUUUUUGGUUUGUCUAAUCUUUUGUUAGUUUCAGAAAUCCAUGGGUUAUAGUUUUGCAUAUCUUGUUCAAAUAUAAGGAGCCUACACAGCAUAUCAGUACUAACAUUCUGUUUUUAUUUUUAUUUUUUAUUUUUUAUUUUAAAUAAUUGUAUUAUUUAAAUGAUUUGACUAGGCUAAAGAGUGUGAUCUACCAUUUUCGGGGAAACAGAGAAUUUUCUCGUCUAAGAAUUUGCAUUGGGCGGCCUCCUGGUCAAAUGGAUCCCAAAGCAUUCUUGCUUCAAAAAUUCAACAGGACAGCUCGAGAACGAUAAUUGUAGCUUGGUAUUGUUGAACAAGAUUGAUGAUGCUAUUCAAGAGGGAGUUGGUGCACUGAAGCUCCUACUAUCUAAAGGGUUGACAGAGACUGCAAGGAGUUUCAACACUGACCAAAAAUACAAGCAUAUCAGAUU